rnacentral:rRNA from 1 species
AUUGAACGCUGGCGGCAUGCCUUACACAUGCAAGUCGAACGGUAACAGGUCUUCGGAUGCUGACGAGUGGCGAACGGGAGAGUAAUACAUCGGAACGUGCCUAGUAGUGGGGGAUAACUACUCGAAAGAGGGGCUAAUACCGCAUGUGAUCUACGGAUGAAAGCAGGGGAACGCAAGACCAUGUGAUAGUAGAGCGGACGAUGGUAGGUUAGGUAGUUGGUGGGAUAAAAGCUUACCAAGCCGACGAUCUGUAGCUGGUAUGAGAGGCCGAUCAGCCACACUGGGACAGAGACAAGGCCCAGACUCCGACGGGAGGAAGCAGUGGGGAAUUUUGGACAAUGGACGAAAGCCUGAUCCAGCAAUGCCGCGUGCAGGAUGAUGGCCUGCGGGUUGUAAACUGAUUUUGUACGGAACGAAAAGCCCCGGGUUAAUACCCUAGGGUCAUGACGGUACCGUAAGAAUAAGCACCGGCUAACUACGUGCCAGCCGCCGCGGUAA